rnacentral:rRNA from 1 species
GACGAACGCUGGCGGCGUGCUUAACACAUGCAAGUCGAACGGUAAGGCCCCUUCGGGGGUACACGAGUGGCGAACGGGUGAGUAACACGUGAGUAACCUGCCCCUGACUCUGGAAUAAGCAUUCGAAAGGGUGUCUAAUACCGGAUAUUCAUCUCUGCCGGCAUCGGUGGUGGUGGAAAGUUUUUCGGUUGGGGAUGGGCUCGCGGUCUAUCAGCUUGUUGGUGGGGUAAUGGCUCACCAAGGCUUCGACGGGUAGCCGGCCUGAGAGGGCGACCGGCCACACUGGGACUGAGAUACGGCCCAGACUCCUACGGGAGGCAGCAGUGGGGAAUAUUGCACAAUGGGCGGAAGCCUGAUGCAGCAACGCCGCGUGCGGGAUGACGGCCUUCGGGUUGUAAACCGCUUUCAUCCAUGACGAAGCUAACGUGACGGUAGUGGGAGAAGAAGCACCGGCCAACUACGUGCCAGCCGCCGCCGUAACAC